UUGAGAUGUUCUCAGGAUGGCAUUGAAAUGGUGUGGAAGGCUUAGGUUGCAGAAAUGUAGCGGAGAAAUUACAAAGGAUAUCUCAACAAUCUCAACAAUGAUACUACCCCACCACCAUCCCACCCCACCCCAGGGAAGUAUCUAGAAAGGGCCUGUAGGCAUCUGGUUAGGAUUGGCCUUAAUUGACAUCUUCCUCAACUAUCUGCAGGAAAUAUCAAGUAUGUUAUUAAAAUUCACAGAUGCAAUCAGUUGUCAGAGUCACUGGAGACCAAUAAUUAUUUCACAGGCAUCAAGACUGUUUGGGGGUGCUGACAGGAGGGAGAACAAUUCAGCCUGGAAAAAUGCAAACCGAUGGAUACAGUGGGAAAAGGCUUAGGGAAA
rnacentral:lncRNA from 1 species